UCUUCCAGCGGAAGCGAAUCCCCCUCUCCCGACGAGACAGAUGCAGACACCUGCAGYGCCGACGGCGACGGAGCUGCCGACCACGGCUGUAAAUCGGGAGAGGACAGCUCUGCCAGUGGCUCCAGCAGCACCUCUGGAGAUGAGUCAGAUGCCGAGGAGUCGGAUGGGGGAAA